CGCGGCAGCCGGAGGGCAUCCCCGCCCCGCCCGGGACCCCGGUGGGCGUGGCGUCGCCGGCCGGGGUGGGACGGCGGGAGCGGGAGGGGCCGGGGCGGCGGCCCGCGGGGCGGAGAGGGUGUCCCCGCUACCCCGCUAAAGAUGCGCAGCGGGCGGCGGGCUGCGUCCCAAACGCGGUCGCGAGCAGCGGGGUCCGAGGGGCACCGGUGGGCCCCAGCAGAGUCCCGGGCAGGGCCUCAGGGACAUCCCAAGGGGGAUUCUGGGGCCUGGCGAAGGUCACCCGGGAAGGCCCCCAGUUGGACCCUGGCCUCGGAAUUCUCUGCCGAAAUCCCGGCCUGGAGCUGGGGUGGAGGGUGGGGGGUGCUGAGGGGGAUUAGGCUUUAGCCGCCUCCCAUUCAGAUAAUUUGAAGGUACAUUUCUCAGGGUCUCAGAUUUUCUUGCACUGGACACCCCCAACUAGUUUGCGGCGGCUGUGGGCCUCAGAACCUCAAUGUGACGAAAACGGGUUUAAGAGUCCUUUUAGAAGGACCACUGGCUGGUCUUCCCUCUCUCCACCCCCACAGGCCGUACAACUGAGUCAUCUUUAAAUACCGUCCUCGGUCCUAGCCAAUUGCAGAUUCCGCCUGCAAACAAUGUUUGAAGCCAGAUCCCUUCUAAAUAACUGCAAGACUGAAGUUAGCCAUCUUUGAAGAUCGCAAUUGCUCUUCCAGCUCAUUAAAAUAUAUGUCUUUUUUUUUUUUUUUUUGGCUUAGGGAAGCAAGAGUAAUUUCAAGGCAGGCCCAGCAGUGACGACUUGGAAACCCAUCUUAAGAUGUCUCAGGUAAGGUACAGGCUUCACUGUAAAUAUCAUGCAGAUGUGUGCAUUUACCCCACUAGAUGUGCCUUUGGAAAAGUUAUAUCUAAAUAGAGUUUCAAAAAUUAAUUCUUUUUCAAGCAAGGUUAACUAAAUCCUUUUGUGUUGCAAAAUGCCCCCCCCCCCCACUACCAUGUAUUUUCUUAAAGAAUCAGUACACUAGUGCCCUAUGGAUUAGUAAUUUCCAAAAAUUCUCUUUUUUUUAUUUAUAAUUUUUUUAAUGUUUAUUUAUUUUUCUGAGAGACAGUGUGAGAGGGGGAGGUGCAACAGAGAGGGAGACACAGAAUCCAAAGCAGGUUCCAAGCGAUCAGCACAGAGCUGGAUGAAGGGCUGGAACUCAUGAACCAUGAGAUCAUGACCUGAGCCAAAGUCUGACCCUCAACUGACUGAGCCCCCCAGGUGCCCCCCCCCAAAAUAUCUUCUAACCACAGAUGAGCUUGGGCACUAGAGACUCUGUCUUCUACAUUGGCCAUUUCCUUGAUGCUCCAUGGUAUUCACCUUGUUGACCCUGGUGCUUCCUAUGGGGCUUUUGCAGUAUCACACAUAGCAUGUCUAUGAGAUGACGAACCAUAGAGUGCUGGCACACUUGUUUACUGAAAACUGUAUAAGGGUCUGUAAAUUUAGAAGUUGCUUAUCAUCUAUGUCCAUAGCUCUCUAUACGAGGCUAGAAUACUUAAGUCAUAUGAAGAUACAGGUGCAUAUCCAGGCUUGAGGAGAGCAGGGUCUGCUUCCUCACUGUCUUUGCUCUUCCUUGCUAGCAAGUUAAUACCACCCCUGUGGUCUCCCUUUUCUAGGAUGGGUGACAGGUGAGGAUGUGGGACAGCGGCAUAUCCCGUUAGGAGAUGGCUAUGCUUGUAUAGGUGUAACGUUUUGUUAUAUUACGGAAAUUCCUCACGCACAGAGAUAUGGUCCCAGGUUUAGGAUUAUUUUUCCCAGAUGUAUUAUGUUAUGUAACUUUCUCCAUAGAUGACUCCCAAAUUCACAUUGAAUCCUGACAUCUUUUGAGCUUCAGCAGUAUAAAACAGAAUGCUGUCCUGCCAUUAUCUCAACAUACCUAAAGCCAAACUCACUCUUUCCCCCUCCAUUCCAGAUUCUACUCUCUUUUUUUUUUUAAUUUUUUUUUUAACGUUUAUUUAUUUUUUGAGAGAGAGAGAGACAGAGCAUGAACGGGGGAGGGUCAGAGAGAGAGGGAGACACAGAAUCUGAAACAGGCUCCAGGCUCUGAGCGGUCAGCACAGAGCCUGACGCGGGGCUCGAACUCACGGACCGCGAGAUCAUGACCUGAGCUGAAGUCGGACGCUCAACCGACUAAGCCACCCAGGCGCCCCUAGAUUCUACUCUCUUAAACAGUAAGGAAAAUAUAUUAUCUCAUGUGGCAUGUAGGGCAGCUUUAGAUUUAGUUCAUUUAACAGCUAAAUAACAUUCUCAGUGACCCAGAUUCUUUCCGUUUUGUCACUCUGACAUUCCUAGGUUAGUGCCCCUCGUAGUCACAAAAUGGUUGCCACAGUUCCACCUAACACAUGCAUACACGUAACAUCUGGCAGAAGUAGAGAGACUGUUUCUUCCCAUGUAUCCCUUUCAUUAUCAAGGAAAACCUGUCUUGGAAUUCUUCAAGCCAUCUUCCCAUGAUCUCAUAUGCUGACAUCUAAACCAGUCACCAUCAAGGAGGAAGAAACUAUCAUGAAUGGCUUAAAUUAAUUAUGAUUCGCCCCUGUGGCUGAGAAUUAGACUUUUUUUCCCCAAGCACGUGUAGACUUAGGUGAAUAACCUGGGCAAAAUGGGGGUUUUCUUAGGAGGAAUGAAAGGAGAAUAGAUGUUAAGGGGACAAAUAGCAGUGUUUAAUACAUGUGGUAAUACAGUAAAUAUGUCAGCUAGGUUAGGCUGUGGUAACAGAUGAUCUCAAAGUGUCUUACGACAGCAAAGUUUUUUUCUUGAAAUACCCUACAUGUUCAUGGCAGGUCAACUUGGCUAUAUUCUAGUUUGUCCUUAUGCUGGGACCCACGCUGGACCCUUAUCUGGAACACAGUUGGUCUCAUGAAAGAAGAAAAGUGAUCAUGUGAAUCCCACAGUAGUUCUUAAUAUUUCUGCCUGGAACUGAUGCAUGUUCUUGGUCACAAAAAGUUCCUCUGGCCAACUCUGGCAUCACUAAGGAAGGACAGCAAACAUUUGUUUAAAACUGUGACCAACAACACAGCGGGCCACACACAAGGACCAGAAAUAACCAAAUCUUGCUCUGCUAAUCAUCUCUCCUCUCCUUAGAGUUCCCAAGGGGACUAUGCACAAGAAAGAAAUUGGAAUCGAAACCAGUGGAUUAUUUUACUCAUAGCUGAGCUGGCACCCAAUAACCUCCAGAACAGAAAUCUGCCAGAAGACUAGGUUGAAUGACAUGGCAUAGGUUUCAGGCUACAGUGAAGCUCCCUAAUUCCCUGUUCCCUUUCCCCCCUCUACAUUUCGGGGCCAGUAUGCGUGGGCAUGCCUGCCGAAAGAGGGGAGAAGAUGAUCAGAUCUGCAAAGCAGACCGGAUUUACUUUUCUUAGUGUGUGCUAGAGACUGAGCCGGGCCGCUUAGCAGGAAAUGGGGAGCAAAGCAGCACACACGGCCACGUGACCUUUGAAGACAAAGCGACCGUAACCACGUAAAAUGUGAACUCAUUAAUGUACUGGGUUCUGAGCAAUCAGAUUAACAAAUUCUUCCUUCUGAAGGAAACCAUUAAGAAGACAGGACAUUCUCUGCCCCUCCCCCACUUGCUCUCAAAACAAACAAACAAAUAAAUAAAUAGAAGGGCAGAAAAGGGAAUUCCUUCCUAUGUUCCCACACUCUCACUUCUGUUCUUACUCUGUUAGGAAGAGGAAUAGAAAAGUGGCCUGUGCACCAUCUAUUUGCCUCCUCAUCUAGACAGUAAGCCUCUUAAGAACAGGGGCUAAAGCAUUGUGUAUCACUGUUUCUACCUGUAGUAGGUACUCAGGUAACUGUCGAUAAUAGUUAUGACCAUCGUUAAGAGACAUCAUUGCAAUUUCAGUUGACAAAACUGUGGUCAAUUACAGAUAAACAGUUGGCCUUUGAAUAACACGGUGGGUAGAGAUGCCGACCUCCUGCACAGUUGAAAAUCCAUUUAUAACUUUUGACUCCCUAAAAACUUAACUACUAACAGCCUUCUGUUGACCAAAAGCCUUACUGAUAACAUAAACAACACAUAUAUUGUAUAUGUGUUCUACACAGUAUUCUUACAAGAAAGUAAGCUAGAGAAAAGAAAAUGUUAUUAAGAAAAUCAAAGGGUGCCUGGGUGGCUCAGUCAGUUAAGUGUCUGACUUGGGCUCAGGUCAUGAUCUUGCAGUUUGUAAGUUUGAGCCCUGCGGCAGGCUCUGUGCUGACAGCUCAGAGCCUGGAGCCUACUUUGGAUUCUGUGUCUCCCUCUCUUUCUCUCUGCUCCUCCCCGUGUCUCUCUCUCUCUCUCUCUCUAAAGUAAAUAAACAUUAAAAAAAUUUUUAAAAAAAUCAAAAAGAAGGGAAAAUAUACUUACAGGACUGUACUAUAUUGAAACAAAUCCAUGUAUAAGUAGACACACACAGUUCAAAUCUGUGUUGCUCAAGGGUCAAGUAUACUAGGUUUUGUAACCUGGGAUUCUGGGGCUAUAUUUCUCAUCUUACUUUUAACCUUCAGUAUAGACUGGCACAAAUGGGUAUUGAGAUGUGGGUGUGGACAGUGGAAAGAAAGUGAUAGUCUUCAUAAAUAUUACAUAUGACCCUAAGCAGAUGGAUGUGCCAAGUAUAUAGAAGAUCAAAAUUCAAUUGACCUCAAUAAAUUAGAGAAAUGGUCAUCAAUGGCAGGUUAAAAUGCAUUAGAUAGCAAAAGAAGCAUCUCUCUCUCUCUCUGUCUCUCUCUCACACACACACACACACACACACACACACACACACACACACACAAUUCAAGAAAGAAAAACUGGCCGGGCAGAAAUGUGGCCAAAAAAGACCUGAUAGAUGCGGCAAACCAAUAACAGAACGAAAAGAAAAACAGCAGGAUAUAUUAACAGAAGCCUGUGAAGCCAAAUUCAUCUUCACCUCCCUGGGACCUUGCUUAGUGCCUGGCACACAGUGCACGUUGCUAAGUAUAUGUGGAAAAAAUGCAUGACUUUGGCUUUGGUCAGAUUAUCCGUGCUGUUCCCUUCCUCUGAGAAGACUUUGCAUAACCAAUUCCUGUCCAUUCUUCAAGGCCCAGCUCAAAUACAGUUCCUGUCUGGUGCCUUCCUUAAAUUCAGCCUACCCUCAACUAGAAGAACGCUCUCUGUUUCUGAAUUUUCGUAAGUGAUGAGUAUGUGCUAGUGAUGAUUAUUCCAGUAAUGGACAAUGGGUAGCUACUGGGUGAAUAGUAACUCAGAUUAAGACAGUCCAGUACACAUAAUUUUGAAUUAUAGAAACAAUAACUAACAGAAGGUGUCUGCAAUUCUAUAACUGUUCAUCAUUGGCAUUGACUCUGACUUUCUGUGCUCUUGUUUCUUCUCUCUGUGCUGUAUGUAAUCCAGGUGUCAGUUUUCCCCUCCUCCUCUUAUUCAAGCUCACACCCCUUAUGCCCUCUCCUACCAGCAUCUUAGUGAACAAGAUCGAAUUUGCUGAAGGGGAGACGUGAUUUAUGUCACGUGGGCUGUAGCAGCUGGAACCCCGCUAUGACACACCUCUUUCUCCAGAGUACACACUCUCCGCUUCUGCCACAGGGAUCUCUUCCCAUCCCCUACCCCAUCCUACCUCCCAGCCUCCAGCUUUCCUGCUCUUCACCUUCCCCCCCACCAGCCCUAUGUAGACUCCUCAACCCUUCAUUAUUCAGAGGAAUGCAUUUCAUCCUAGUUUCUACAUCCAAACCUGUGCCCAACGAAUGACCAUGUUCAGCAAAACAGCAAGUUCUUCCAGUUACAGGAUCUUCCCUCUUCAGGAAAUAGAAGGCGAUUAUAAAUAAUAUUCUUCUUUUGUAAACCUAAUUAACACAAAACGACUGAAUGGGGUUUUUUCAUGAAGUCUUCAUGUGGAGCUUGUUGGAGCCAGCUUUUGAAGAGUACAGCGGACACAGGUCUGCAAGGCAGGGUACAAAGAAGACGUCCAGGAGGGGAUUGCCGGCUGCUGUCCUGCUCUGGAUGAACUAGGCUCCCAGAACCGGGUAGGAGUUUAUAGUUCUCAAGGGGCUUGCCCUAUCUGUCUGGAGACAAGGCUGCAUAAUUGCUUAUCUUGUUAUCUGCCAGCCCCAGCCUCAUGCAGCUGUAAUCAUUAAGACAGUUGUUCCGUCGUCCUUUCCUAGCUCCUUAGCCUUUUCUGACCAAGUCGGGAAUUCUAUUAGAAAUCCUAACACUAUCUUUCCUUUCCUCUCAUGUUAGGGAACAGGCUAUGCUCAAUAACAAAAAGACCCCAGAAGACAGUGACUCGACAAGUAAUUUCUCUGCCACUCAGUAGUCCAGUAAGGAGGACGUCCGGGAUGGGGAAGUAGCUCUGCUUCACUGGUUCAACCCAGGACCCAGGUUCCUUUCAUCCUAGUGUGCCACCAACUCAUUGUUGGCAUGUUUGGGGCCGGCUCUUGUGGCCACAUCUGUGUUCCAGGCCUCUGGAAGGAGAAAGAGAGGAAAGAGGAAGUGGACAAGUGGCCGCCUUUGAAAGAUGUAACAUGAACAUUAUACUCCUAACUUCCAUUCACAUCCCAAGAACCUGGACCCAUAGUCACAUCUACUGCAAGGAGGCUGGAGACUGUACUCCCUAAUUGGUUAGGUGUGUGCCCAGCUAAAACUCAGUGUGGGGUGAGAAGGGCUUCUGUUACUAAAAGGAAGAGAAGAAAUGGACAUGAAGAUGAAGAACAGCUCCCACCGUACCUCCCUAUCCUUAUGUGGGGAUAAGAGACCCUACAGAUGUGCCACUCUAGUAAUCUCCAGUUUCUUCAAAUUCCCUGAAUAUGCAUUUCUGUGUCCCACCUCCACGACUGUUCACGGUAAAUCUUUCUCACUUUUCGUUGCCUGCUAGCAUCGGCUCAAGUAGCACCUUCCCUAGGAAAUCUUCCUGUAUCUUAGUUUGGGGUAAGUGGCCCUUCUUUGUGUUCUGAUAGUGUUACGGAACCAGGCUGGAACGCUGGCGGAAAAACCAAGUGGCACUCAGAGAUCUUGGUGGAUCGGAGAUUUAUUUAACACCAGCGGGCUCAGAGGAGACUGUUUUUCCAAAGAUCUGAGCUCCGAAUGAAGGGAGGAAGGGUAAUUUAUAGUGGUCAGCUUCCAUAUCUGUGGCAGGCUUGUGCGCGUGGCAAACAGGGCAAGAAGAACCUGGAAGAGGGGUCUCCAAACUAGAGACCAGAGCUUGUUUUAGUCCCGUUGGCCAUCUUAUGGUGUAAAACUGUAUUCAUUUUCCCAACGGUAGCACACUAUGCAUUUUUCUCCUUUGGCAAUUGUCAAAGUCCUCCAGUAUCUGCACACAUGUGAAAUCAUCUCCUUGUGCUCUGUUUCCGUCUAGACUGUAAGCCAUUUGAGAGCAAUUUUGCUAUGUCUUAGUCAUAUUUGUGUCUUACUACCUAGGUUGAGCUGAAUUCCUUUUCCCGCCAGUGGGUGAAAUAAGUUGUGCCAUCGCCUGACCCCCUGCAUGCCCACUGAGGUGUAGCUUUCAUCCAUAAUGGCCAGGCUGUCUAAGUAGGCAUUCUUCCCAUUUGGACAAAAGGACUAGCCUGAAACCCUAGCAGGUCUAAGAUCCUGACCCUCAUCCUAGCUCUUUGAAUUCCUGUCCCUCGUGAGCCCAAGACCUGUUUUUGUUACCCUCUAGGGGCUGGCUGCCAACCUAGAACCAUGGUAUGACUGCCAUUUGCUGACAUUGAUCUUAGACCCUUCACUAGGUGUAAGCUAUGCUUCAUCUGCUGUGUACUUCCUUGAUACUGAAACCAGCUGGAACUUAGUCCUGGCAUAUUCUUUAUCUUGGCAUGUUGACAAAUGACCCUUUAGCUAGGUCAGUUUUCCCUAGUUCUGCUCCUGGUGGGCCCUGUCCAUUUCCCAUUCACCACUGGUCAUCCUGCUAAAGCUCUAUCAUGCUUGACCUGUGAAUAAAUGUGCCCAUGUUAGGAUUAAUAAGUAUUGUUUGUACCUUCUGUUUGAAGAUAACUGGUCCAAGAUAGGAAUCAAUUCUUAGCUUUGUGGCAUAUCACUGGCACAAAGUGAUAUAUACUUUUUUCUUUAUAUAGACUUUCUUUGGAUGAAAAAUUACUAGUGUGUGUAUAUAUUUUUAUUUAUUUUAUAAUGCAUAUUAUAAAAUAUAUAAAAUAAACAUUUUGAAAGUAUAUAUAUAUAUAUAUAUACACACAUACACACACACACAUAUAUAGCUUAAAAUAUAAAUAUUUGAGUAUGCAAAACCAGUGUAUUGAGCAGGUUACUCAUUUGCAAAUAUGUUUUAUUUGUACAAAAGGAGUUGCCAGUAAAAUCUUAAGAAUUAAUAUGUCUCGGGGCGCCUGGGUGGCUCAGUCGGUUAAGCGUCCGACUUCAGCUCAGGUCACGAUCUC
rnacentral:lncRNA from 1 species